rnacentral:sRNA from 1 species
AUAACCCUCUGUUGCAGAAUACCCUGAUGUGACAGAAGUCUCUCUAGAGUUUGGAAACCUUUACCAACAACGAAAAAUUCUGAUGUAUUCUCUUGCAGUUGAACGUCCUCAGAUGACUUUCGGCAGGCUCCAGGGAAUCUUCCCGAAGAUCAUGCCCAAGAAGCCAGCAGAGGAAGGAAAUGUUUCGAAGGGAGUGCCAGAAGCAUCUGGCCCACAAAACGAUGGGAAACAGCUGUGCUCCCCGGGAAAACCAACUACCUCUGGGAAGAUUAACACGAUAUCUGGACCCAAAAGGGGGAAACAUGCCUGGACCCACAGACUGCGUGAGAGAAAGCAGCUGGUGAUUUAUGAAGAGAUCAGCGAUCCUGAGGAAGAUGACGAGUAACUCAUCUGCAUAGAACAGCACUACCCUCCUCUCUCCCCAGAUGUGACUACUGAGGGCCGUUCUGAGUGUUUAAUUUCAGAUUUUUUCCUCUGCAUUUACACACAC